GACAGAGGUGCCAAGCGUUAGGCGGAAUCACUGGGCUUAAAGCGUGUGUAGGCGGAUCGUUAAGUACCUUGUGAAAUCCCACGGCUCAACCGUGGAACUGCUCGGUAUACUGGCGGUCUUGAGCCACCUAGGGGCAACUGGAACAAGCGGUGGAGCGGUGAAAUGCGUAGAUAUCACUUGGAACGCCAAUGGCGAAAGCAGCUCUCUGGGACGGUACUGACGCUGAGACGCGAAAGCGUGGGGAGCGAACAGG
rnacentral:rRNA from 1 species